rnacentral:tRNA from 1 species
GGAGCGGUAGUUCAGUUGGUUAGAAUACCUGCCUGUCACGCAGGGGGGCGUGGGUUCGAGUCCCGUCCGUUCCGCCA